rnacentral:rRNA from 1 species
GACAGAGGGUGCAAACGUUGUUCGGAAUUACUGGGCGUAAAGGGCGCGUAGGCGGCCUUCUAAGUCGAACGUGAAAUCCCCGGGCUCAACCCGGGAACUGCGUCCGAGACUGGAAGGCUCGAAUCCGGGAGAGGGAUGUGGAAUUCCAGGUGUAGCGGUGAAAUGCGUAGAUAUCUGGAGGAACAUCGGUGGCGAAGGCGGCAUCCUGGACCGGUAUUGACGCUGAGGCGCGAAAGCCAGGGGAGCAAACGGG